CCGGUCCCCGAGCCGGUUCCAGCAAUAAGCCCGUGAAGUCCGGGACCGUUUAGGACCGGACGACAUAGGACCGGCCCACUUAGGACCGGAGCCGCGAAGCCCAUUUAGGACCGGGCCCGGCCCACUUACCACCCUUAGGUUGAAAGUAGUGACGAGCUUUUACCAAGGUCGGAUCCGAAAACUAAUAGUCCACAACAGUCCAUAACCACGUAAAGCAAAUAAUAUAAGAAGUAACUCAGAGAUAAAAUGCUCAGCUAAAUCAUGAUUUCAAAAAUAAUAAUUCUUCCUUUCAAGUACAUCAGUGAAAACCCAAAUUGUUUACCGAAGUUGCCAAAAAUAUGAAUAUGUUUGAAAACAAUAAUUUUCCCAAAAUCCUUUCAAUAAUAAAUGAGAUGUUUCAUUUUCUUUCCAGAUAACCCGUGUAAAACAAAUGCAUCACUAUGCCCAUCUGUCAAUAUAUGUGAGAAAUCAUGAAUGAUGUGAUACUGUACAGCAUGAGAAAAAUACAUCUCUAUGCAUGUAUGUCAUGUGUGUAUGUCAAUGCAAUGCAACUCAGUGAUUAAAUCAUAUGCAUACUCUCAGAGUAUCAUUUCACUCAGUCCUCCCAGUCACUCAAUUCUCCCAGUCACUCAGUCCUCCCAAUCGCUCGGCACUCGGCACUCGCACUCAGUAGGUACCUGUGCUCACUGGGGGUGUGUACAGACUCCGAAGGGGCUCCUUCAUCCCAAGCGCUAUAAUCUGCACGGACAACUCAUGUUCUAUAAUAAUAUCUGGAUCCGCACGGACAACUCACGUGCUGCACGGAUAACUCACGUGCUGCACAGAUAACUCACGUGCUAUAAUAAUAUCUGGAUCCGCGCGGACAACUCACAUGCUAUAAUAAGUCAAUCUGGCAUGCUGCGGCGUGCAUCCUGAUCCCAUAAUUAUCUUCACAAUCAGGCCCUCGGCCUCACUCAGUCAUCAAUCUCUCCAGUCUCUCGGGCUCACAAUGUCAUGAAAAUAGCCUGAAAAUGAUGAUAUGAUGUAUCAAUAAAUAAUAACAGAGACUGAGAUAUAAUAUGCAAUGAAACGAAUAUGACUGAGUAUGAAUUUUCAAUUUAAAAUAAAUAAUUCACAGCAAUACGACCUCUGUGGGUCCCAGUAAUACUCGCACACAGCCUCAACAUGAUUUUCAAUAUGAUUCUCAGCUCAAAUUCCUUUAACAUAUGACAAUACAAGGAAAAUGCCAAGAUUAGUUUACUAUAAAAUUUCACGGAAAUAAUUAUGUCAAAAUUUCCAUACUGCACGCCUACACGCCCAUCACCUAGCAUGUACGUCACCUCCCAACAAUUCACAUAAUAUAUGUAUUCAGAGUUCAUACCCUCAGCUUAAAGAUUAGAAGAGUUACUUACCUCGAACGAGCCGAAUCCAAUGUCGAGCAAGCUAAAUAAUGCUCCAGAAAUUCCAUUCUGUGCGUAAUAACUUCCGAAUGGCUCGAAUCUAGUCACAAUUAAUUUGAUUCAGUCAACCCAAAUUAUAGAAAUUUAUUCCAUAUCAAAAUACUAAUUUUUCCACAAAAUCCAAAAUUACACUCAAAAUUGCCCGUGGGGUCCACUUCUCGGAACCCAACAAAAGUUACAAAAUAUGAAUUUUCAUCCAACCACGAGUCCAACCAUAUAAAUUUCACCAAAUUCCAACAUCAACUCGACCCUCAAAUCUUUAAUUUAUCAUUUUCAACCAAAUCUUUACCCAUUUGAACUCAAAUAUCUUUCCAUAAAACUUAUUAGUAUAUAUAUGUAUACAUAAUACACUCACACCCAAUAAUCAUACUUCUCAUGACCUACUUUUAAUCAAAAUCCCGAAAUUUAGGGCUAGGGAAUCGAAUCUUACCUAUUAGAUGAAGAUCUUGUGAAAUCUUCAAGCCUUGAGCAAGAAUUGAUGAACAAAAUAGCUAGGUCUUUUCUUUCUCUCUCUAAGAUAGCUCUUUCCUCUCUCUACAAAAUCACAUUUUACCUUCUAAAAUGAUCCCCUAAGGCCUUAUAUCAAAAUUGGAUCGGAUAUAAAAAUUUUCAAAAAUGACCCCCGAAGUCAAUUAUGUGGUACAAUUAUGCUAUAGCAUAAUCGUUUUGUGGGCAGCAGAAUUGCAACAUAAUCAAUUAUGCUAUAGCAUAAUCAAUUAUGCGACAGCAUAAUAUUUUUUUUCAAAAUUUGCCCGUCUCUGCUCCACUUUGCGAUGCUUAUGCGGUCUGCGGAACCGUUUUGCGGUCGCGAAAUUGAUCGCAGAUCCAGCCUUUGGUAAUUUGGUCAUAACUUCUUGUUGGAGUGUCCAAAUGACGAACAGUUUGAAGCGUUAGAAACAAGACUCAAAGAUAUUUUAUUUUAUAGGUAAUACACCAUAUAAAACUUCGUAUUAUGAGAGUUAUACUUAUUUGAAGUUAGGUCUUGUGCGAACUCACUUGCAACUUUAGUCUAUUAUGAAAUUUCCAACUUAUACAUUCGAUGCCGAAACCUAUCGAAUCAAAUCCAAUUGACCUCAAAUUUUGCACACAAGUCAUAAAUAACAUAACGAACCUAUUCCAGUUUCCGAAAUUGGAUUCUGACCCCUAUAUCAAAAAGUCAACCCCCGGUCAAACUUUUCAAAAAUUUAACUUUCGUCAUUUCAAGCCUAAUUCUACUACGGGACUCCAAAUAAUUUUUCGGGCGCGCUCCUAAGUCCAAGAUAACCAUACGGAGCUAUUGGAAUCAUCAAAAUUUAAUUCCUAGGACGUUUACACAUGAGUGAAUAUCCGGUCAACUUUUUCAACUUAAGUUUUCAAUUAUGAGACUAAGUAUCUCAUUUCACUCCGAAAUCCUUCCGAACCCGAACCAACUAACCUGAUAAGUCAUAAAUCAACUGUAAGAUAUAAAUUGAGUAGUAAAUAGGGGAACAGGGCUGUGAUACUUAAAAUGGCCGAUCGGGUCAUUACAAUACUCAAAUAUAGGCAGCAUGUAUUUGACAAUGAGAUAUAUAGGUUGAGAUACAACUAAACAUGUGAAAUCAACUACAAUUCUUGUCACGAAAUUGCUAUGGAGACCAUCUGUCCUUAACGUGCAAAUCCAUAAAAGGUUUUAAGUCUUUAACAUAUCAAAACUAACAUCCAUUCAUGUUCAAAACAGAACAAAUAGUCAAUUUACACAAUCACAACAAAUAACUUUAAAGAAUAACCAACAUUUCAUUGCAAAUCAAAACAGAGGUACAUGUGUGAGAUGUGUACCUAAACUCGUAAACAAGCUGAACUUUUGCUAAAUAAAGGCUAAGGAAAUAGCUAACAUGUGAGCUAAAAACAAAUCAGCAGUAGAAGGCAGAAGAAAUAACCUCAAAUCUCAGCUAAACAACAGAGUGACAACAGUACAGUUUUUCAGCAACUCGAUGCAAUUUUGAAGAAACCAGAAGUUGAAUAGCAAAUCAAACAGAGAAAACAACUUGGGAAAACCUUGAUAGAAUUUUCAGAGUGUUUUCUUUGAGAAAUCAGUGUAAAAUGAAGAGAGGAUUGUGAAGUUUUGGUCGAGAAUUCCCUGUCUGUUUAUGAGGGAAUGUGAGUCCUUAUACAGAAUGUAAGGGUGUGCUAUAUGAGAGUAAAAAUCAGAGAGUGUAGGGAAUCUGUCAGGCACCCUAAAAAUUAGGAAAAUUGCAUUUUUCUUAACAGAAUUGGACAGUUAUCCUAUUUUACCAUCUUUUUUUAACAGUUGUCCUUUUUUCUAUUUUUCACCAUCUCUCCUAAUUUUUCUUAUUUUCAAUUAACUCCAUAAAGUUUUUAAUAUUUACAAAAAGCUAUAAUAAGAAAACCAGGCGAAUCCAAAGAUCGAAACAAAGCCAACCAUAUGCAAAUCAACCUAACAAGUAAUUUUAACAUAUAAAUUGCUUCAAUGUCUGAACUAAUCUAAAAUCAAUUAACCUAAAUUUAUGCAAUUAAACUAACUACCAUGAGAUUACAUCUCUAAACAAAAUCCAAAAUUAAUUAAUCUUAACUCCUAAUUGGUCUGAAACAUGUUUAACAUAUGAGAAAACAACACAUUUUGAGAAAAAUUGGAAAAAUAGAAGAGCUGCUUGGUCGAAGAGGAAAGAAAGAAUAAAAAGAAAAGAAAGGAAAAGGAAUUACCUACUGAUCAUACAACAAAGAAUUUUUCGAAGAAUAUGGCGAUUUGAUCAAAUCUGAUGUCUUCGAAACGUGGCGAAAUUAUCAUCAUUCGAUUGUUCUCGUUGAGAAUAAUCAAACAAUGCAAAUUUCGGACCGAAUCAAGUCUUGAAAACUUUGAAAAAUCGAACAAGGCGAACUAGGGUUUCUUGGUAUUCUUAGAUCCGGGAUUCACAGUAAUUAUGUGGUUUUCUGGGGGAAUUGAUGAGAGAUUAGGGAUUAAGCGGAUGUGAGGGUUGUAGGAUGAAGUUUUGAAGGUGUUUGGAAAUGAGCCGCCGAGGUGGAUUUUUGGGGUGGCUAGGGUUUUGAGAGGAUUUGGGAGAGAUGAGAGUGAAGUGAGGAUUCUCUUAAGGUUUUUUGUUUUUUUUGGGGGGGGGGAGGGGG
rnacentral:lncRNA from 1 species